GGGCGGGAGUGCGACGGAUACAAGACCCGAAAGGGAAAGAAGUCCGCCGUCUGUGUGCGGUUUUGAGCUCCCGCCCGCCCUCUC
rnacentral:ncRNA from 19 species